GAUUGGAGGUGUUUUGGCUGAGAAACUGAAGACAUAUGAGGCGGCACCAGGCAUUUUAACGGACCCCCCUCCAGAUGGUACAUUCCUGAGUUCUGCCCCAGCCCUAUUGGUGGGCAUGCUGAAUGCAAAGGAGGAACUACUAACUGAAGGUGACAAGCAGUUGUUGGUACCAGAGCCCAUGUUAAAAGCAAAAGCCCAGGCUAUCACUCAGGAGCAGUUUCUACAGUCCACAAAGGAUAUUGUAGAAGGCAAAGAAGGGAACACAGGGCUGUGUAUGGCAUGGUGGAGACUACAUGUGCUGAUCCAAAGACUGUACA